AGUGAAAUGGAUUUUUCCGCCUAGAGAGAAGCUUGCGGCUGAUUAGCUUGUUGGUGAGGUAAUGGCUCACCAAGGCGACGAUCAGUAUCUGGUUUGAGAGGACGAUCAGACACACUGGAACUGAGACACGGUCCAGACUCCUACGGGAGGCAGCAGUGGGGAAUUUUCCGCAAUGGGCGAAAGCCUGACGGAGCAAUACCGCGUGAGGGAUGACGGCCUAUGGGUUGUAAACCUCUUUUUUCAGGGAGGAAUAAAUGACGUGUACCUGAAGAAUAAGCAUCGGCUAACUCCGUGCCAGCAGCCGCGGUAAGACGGAGGAUGCAAGUGUUAUCCGGAAUCACUGGGCGUAAAGCGUCUGUAGGUGGUCCAAUAAGUCAACUGUUAAAUCUUGAGGCUCAACCUCAAAAUCGCAGUCGAAACUAUUAGACUAGAGUAUAGUAGGGGUAAAGGGAAUUUCC
rnacentral:rRNA from 1 species